rnacentral:lncRNA from 1 species
ACAGGCUGAUCGAAGAUGAUGAAAUGCCACAUUCGCUUCAGUAAACAGACAUCUCAAAGUCCAAAGGAAACAAACUCAAAGAAAGUGCAGAGAGCGUAAGGAAAGAGCUCUGGUCCCGGGCUCACGGUAAGAACACAGCCAGUGUUCAUUCCCUUCUCCCUUCUGCAAGGGGACUCUACCACCACUCACACAGAUUCACCCACAUUUUCACCAAGAUAGAAAUAGACAUUGAACUCCUCCUAAAAGUGCUUUUGUAAACGUUUCACAAUAAACCCUUUGUAGAGGACAAUGGUGUCCAGUGAACCAAGCCCAGCCUAGGAAAUCAUAAUUCCUCACUCAGAAUCCUGCUCUGGGCAUGCUGAGCAAGCUUAUGUUAAAGUUCUC